GAUGAACGCUGGCGGCGUGCCUAAUACAUGCAAGUCGAGCGAACAGACGAGGAGCUUGCUCCUCUGACGUUAGCGGCGCACGGGUGAGUAACACGUGGAUAACCUACCUAUAAGACUGGUAUCACUUCGGGAAACCGGAUCAAAUACCGGAUAAUAUAUUGAACCGCAUGGUUCAAUAGUGAAAGUCGGUUUUGCUGUCACUUAUAGCUGGUUCCCGGCUGGAUUGGCUAGUUGGUACGGUAACGGCUUACCAAGGCAACGAUGCGUAGCCGACCGGAGAGGGGGGUCGGCCACACUGGAACUGAGACACGGACCAGGCUCCUACGGGAGGGAGCAGUAGCGAAUCUUCCGCAAUGGGCGAAAGCCUGACGGAGCAACGCCGCGUGAGUGAUGAAGGUCUUCGGAUCGUAAAACUCUGUUAUUAGGGAAGAACAAAUGUGUAAGUAACUAUGCACGUCUUGACGGUACCUAAUCAGAAAGCCACGGCUAACUACGUG
rnacentral:rRNA from 1 species